rnacentral:ribozyme from 1 species
AAAACCAAAAGCGAAACCGAAAAACAGUGACACCCCCAGAAGAAAAAGCCGACUUUUUUACUUUUUUUUUUUUUUUUUUUUUUU